rnacentral:rRNA from 1 species
GACGGAGGGCGCAAGCGUCGUCCGGAAUUACUGGGCGUAAAGCGCGCGCAGGCGGAUGAGGCAAGUCGGAAGUGAAAUACCGGGGCUCAACCCCGGUACGCACCGGAAACUGCACGGCUUGAGUGCAGAAGAGGAGAGUGGAAUUCCACGUGUAGCGGUGAAAUGCGUAGAGAUGUGGAGGAACACCAGUGGCGAAGGCGACUCUCUGGGCUGCAACUGACGCUGAGGCGCGAAAGCGUGGGGAGCAAACAGG